AGCAAUUGUCAAAGGUGGAGCAGCAGAUGAGGUAAAAAUGGUGAGGAAGGAACAUAAACAGUUGGGGUUGAAAUGGAAUGUAUGGAAGAAGUCAUAGAUAUGGGUGUUAGAAAUGAGGUUAAGGGAGUUUCAUCUAAAACAAGCCCUAAGCCUUCACUAUCAAAUCCACUGUCAAAAAGUCGAUCAAUGGACUCAUGGGUAUCAAUAGGAUCAAUGUCAUCAUCGGGAAUUACAACCAAGGCCUCAGUAGGCUCAGCAAGUGGAACAGAAGGAUGAGGAGAUGCCUAUGCUUCAUCAUCGGAGAUGAUACAUCUUCGGGUUCGUGGCCUUUUGUCAUCAAAGAGCCCCCAUCUUCCUCUUCUUCAGAGUCUUCUUCAAUAGUUUUUCUCUUAGACGAGGAACCUAAAACAAUCUCUUGAGCCUUUU
rnacentral:lncRNA from 1 species